ACUAUUUUGGCAGAAAAGUGUAAUGGUUUUAGAAAUCAUAAAUAUAUAAUUUAAUUAUAUAGGUAGUA
rnacentral:tRNA from 1 species